AACGAACGCUGGCGGCAUGCCUAACACAUGCAAGUCGAACGAGACCUUCGGGUCUAGUGGCUCACGGGUGCGUAACGCGUGGGAACCUGCCCUUAGGUUCGGAAUAACUCCCCGAAAGGGGUGCUAAUACCGGAUAAUGUCUUCGGACCAAAGAUUUAUCGCCUUUGGAUUGGCCCGCGUUGGAUUAGCUAGUUGGUAGGGUAAAAGCCUACCAAGGCGACGAUCCAUAGCUGGUCUGAGAGGAUGAUCAGCCACACUGGGACUGAGACACGGCCCAGACUCCUACGGAAGGCAGCAGUGGGGAAUAUUGGACAAUGGGCGAAAGCCUGAUCCAGCAAUGCCGCGUGAGUGAUGAAGGCGUUAGGGUUGUAAAGCUCUUUUACCCGGGAUGAUAAUGACAGUACCGUGAGAAUAAGCUCCGGCUAACUCCGUG
rnacentral:rRNA from 1 species